rnacentral:rRNA from 1 species
AUACCCUAUUAUUUUAAUUGUAAUAAAAUUACUUGAGUAUUAAUAGUUAUGAUCUUGAAACUUAAAAAAUUUGGCGGUAUUUUAGUCUAUUCAGAGGAACCUGUUGUAUAAUCGAUAAUCCACGAUGGACCUAACUUAAUUUUGUUUUUCAAUUUAUAUAUCGCUGUUAUAGAAAAUUUUAUAAGAAUAAUAAUUUUCAAUUAAUUUUAUAAAAUUAUAUAUCAAGUCAAGGUGUAGUUUAUAAUUAAGUACGUUAUGGGUUACAUUAAAUUUAUUUAAGCGAAUUUAAGAUUGAAAUAGUUUUAAUGAAGAUGGAUUUGAUAGUAAAUUUUUACAGAUAAAAAAAUUGAUUUUAGCUCUAAGAUAUGCACACAUC